UACGUAGGGGCUAGCGUUGUCCGGAAUCAUUGGGCGUAAAGCGCGUGUAGGCGGUCCGGUAAGUCCGCUGUGAAAGUCGGGGCUCAACCCUCGAAUGCCGGUGGAUACUGUCGGGCUAGAGUGCGGAAGAGGCGAGUGGAAUUCCCGGUGUAGCGGUGAAAUGCGCAGAUAUCGGGAGGAACACCAAUGGCGAAGGCAGCUCUCUGGGACGGUACUGACGCUGAGACGCGAAAGCGUGGGAGCGAACAGG
rnacentral:rRNA from 1 species